CACGUAGGGUGCGAGCGUUGUCCGGAAUUAUUGGGCGUAAAGAGCUCGUAGGCGGUGUGUCGCGUCGGCCGUGAAAACCUGCAGCUUAACUGUGGGCUUGCGGUCGAUACGGGCAUCACUGGAGUGCGGCAGGGGAGACUGGAAUUCCUGGUGUAGCGGUGAAAUGCGCAGAUAUCAGGAGGAACACCGGUGGCGAAGGCGGUUCUCUGGGCAUGUCCUGACGCUGAGGAGCGAAAGUGUGGGGAGCGAACAGG
rnacentral:rRNA from 1 species